rnacentral:rRNA from 1 species
GACGAACGCUGGCGGCGUGCCUAAUACAUGCAAGUCGAACGCUUCUUUCCUCCCGAGUGCUUGCACUCAAUUGGAAAGAGGAGUGGCGGACGGGUGAGUAACACGUGGGUAACCUACCCAUCAGAGGGGGAUAACACUUGGAAACAGGUGCUAAUACCGCAUAACAGUUUAUGCCGCAUGGCAUAAGAGUGAAAGGCGCUUUCGGGUGUCGUUGAUGGAUGGACCCGCGGUGCAUUAGCUAGUUGGUGAGGUAACGGCUCACCAAGGCCACGAUGCAUAGCCGACCUGAGAGGGUGAUCGGCCACACUGGGACUGAGACACGGCCCAGACUCCUACGGGAGGCAGCAGUAGGGAAUCUUCGGCAAUGGACGAAAGUCUGACCGAGCAACGCCGCGUGAGUGAAGAAGGUUUUCGGAUCGUAAAACUCUGUUGUUAGGGAAGAACAAGGACGUUAGUAACUGAACGUCCCCUGACGGUAUCUAAACAGAAAGCCACGGCUAACUACGUG